ACGGGAGGCAGCAGUAGGGAAUUUUCGGCAAUGGGGGGAACCCUGACCGAGCAAUGCCGCGUGAGUGAAGACGGCCUUCGGGUUGUAAAGCUCUGUUGUAUAGGAAGAAUGGUAGACAUAGGGAAUGAUGUUUAAAUGACGGUACUAUACCAGAAAGCCACGGCUAACUACGUGCCAGCAGCCGCGGUAAUACGUAGGUGGCAAGCGUUAUCCGGAAUUAUUGGGCGUAAAGGGUGCGCAGGCGGACAGGAAAGCUUAAGGUGAAAGCGUGGAGCUCAACUCCAUACAGCCUUGGGAACUAACUGACUAGAGUACAGGAGAGGGCAAUGGAAUUCCAUGUGUAGCGGUAAAAUGCGUAGAUAUAUGGAGGAACACCAGUGGCGAAGGCGGUUGCCUGGCCUGAUACUGACGCUCAUGCACGAAAGCGUGGGGAGCAAAUAGGAUUAGAUACCCUGGUA
rnacentral:rRNA from 1 species